GAUGAACGCUGGCGGCGUGCCUAAUACAUGCAAGUCGAGCGAACAGACGAGGAGCUUGCUCCUCUGACGUUAGCGGCGGACGGGUGAGUACCACGUGGAUAACCUACCUAUAAGACUGGGAUAACUUCGGGAAACCGGAGCUAAUACCGGAUAAUAUAUUGAACCGCAUGGUUCAAUAGUGAAAGACGGUUUUGCUGUCACUUAUAGAUGGAUCCGCGCCGCAUUAGCUAGUUGGUAAGGUAACGGCUUACCAAGGCAACGAUGCGUAGCCGACCUGAGAGGGUGAUCGGCCACACUGGAACUGAGACACGGUCCAGACUCCUACGGGAGGCAGCAGUAGGGAAUCUUCCGCAAUGGGCGAAAGCCUGACGGAGCAACGCCGCGUGAGUGGUGAAGGUCUUCGGAUCGUAAAACUCUGUUAUUAGGGAAGAACAAAUGUGUAAGUAACUAUGCACGUCUUGACGGUACCUAAUCAGAAAGCCACGGCUAACUACGUG
rnacentral:rRNA from 1 species